UGAGGAAUAUUGGACAAUGGGCGCAAGCCUGAUCCAGCAAUGCCGCGUGCAGGAUGAAGGCCUUCGGGCUGUAAACUGCUUUUGUACGGAGCGAAAAGGUCUGCCCUAAUACGGUGGGCUCAUGACGGUACCGUAAGAAUAAGCACCGGCUAACUACGUGCCAGCAGCCGCGGUAAUACGUAGGGUGCGAGCGUUAAUCGGAAUUACUGGGCGUAAAGCGUGCGCAGGCGGUUAUAUAAGACAGAUGUGAAAUCCCCGGGCUCAACCUGGGACCUGCAUUUGUGACUGUAUAGCUAGAGUACGGUAGAGGGGAUGGAAUUCCGCGUGUAGCAGUGAAAUGCGUAGAUAUGCGGAGGAACACCGAUGGCGAAGGCAAUCCCCUGGACCUGUACUGACGCUCAUGCACGAAAGCGUGGGGAGCAAACA
rnacentral:rRNA from 1 species